rnacentral:rRNA from 1 species
ACCCACCCGUGUUUACAUACUAUUGUUGCUUUGGCGGGCCGUGGCCUCCACUGCGGGCUCUGCUCGUGUGUGCCCGCCAGAGGACCAAACUCUGAAUGUUAGUGAUGUCUGAGUACUAUCUAAUAGUUAAAACUUUCAACAACGGAUCUCUUGGUUCUGGCAUCGAUGAAGAACGCAGCGAAAUGCGAUAAGUAAUGUGAAUUGCAGAAUUCAGUGAAUCAUCGAAUCUUUGAACGCACAUUGCGCCCUGUGGUAUUCCGCAGGGCAUGCCUGUCGAGCGUCAUUUAACCACUCACGCCUAGCGUGGUAUUGGGGCACGCGGUCUCCGCGGCCCUCAAAAUUAGUGGCGGUGCCGGUGGGCUCUAAGCGUAGUACAUACUCCCGCUAUAGAGUUCCCCCCGGUGGCUCGCCAGAACCCCCAAUUUUUACAGGUUGACCUCGGAUCAGGUAGGGAUACCCGCUGAACUUAAGCAUAUCAAUAAGCGGAGGAAAAGAAACCAACAGGGAUUACCUCAGUAACGGCGAGUGAAGCGGUAACAGCUCAAAUUUGAAAGCUGCCAACAGGCCGCGUUGUAAUUUGUAGAAGCUGCUUUGGGUGUCGGCCCGGUCUAAGUUCCUUGGAACAGGACGUCAUAGAGGGUGAGAAUCCCGUAUGUGAUCGGUGCCGUUGCCCGUGUAAAGCGCU